GACGAACGCUGGCGGCGUGCUUAACACAUGCAAGUCGAGCGGUAAGGCCCUUUCGGGGGUACACGAGCGGCGAACGGGUGAGUAACACGUGGGUGACCUGCCCUCAGCUCUGGGAUAAGCCUGGGAAACCGGGUCUAAUACCGGAUAUGACUCCAUGACGCAUGUUGUGGGGUGGAAAGCCUUGUGCGGCUGAGGAUGGGCCCGCGGCCUAUCAGCUUGUUGGUGGGGUGANGGCCUACCAAGGCGACGAUGGGUAGCCGGCCUGAGAGGGCGACCGGCCACACUGGGACUGAGACACGGCCCAGACUCCUACGGGAGGCAGCAGUGGGGAAUCUUGCGCAAUGGGCGAAAAGCCUGACGCAGCGACGCCGCGUGAGGGAUG
rnacentral:rRNA from 1 species